rnacentral:rRNA from 1 species
UGGGGAAUAUUGGGCAAUGGAGGAAACUCUGACCCAGCGACGCCGCGUGCGGGAUGAAGGCCUUCGGGUUGUAAACCGCUUUCAGUAGGGAAGAAGCGAAAGUGACGGUACCUACAAAAGAAGCACCGGCUAACUAUGUGCCAGCAGCCGCGGUAAUACAUAGGGUGCAAGCGUUGUCCGGAAUUAUUGGGCGUAAAGAGCUCGUAGGUCGUUUGUUACGUCGGAUGUGAAAACCUGAGGCUCAACCUCAGGCCUGCAUUCGAUACGGGCAAACUAGAGUUUGGUAGGGGAGACUGGAAUUCCUGGUGUAGCGGUGGAAUGCGCAGAUAUCAGGAGGAACACCAAUGGCGAAGGCAGGUCUCUGGGCCAAUACUGACACUGAGGAGCGAAAGUCUGGGGAGCAAACAGGAUUAGAUACCCUGGUAGUCCAGACCGUAAACGGUGGGCACUAGUUGUGGGAACCUUCCACGGUUUCUGCGACGCAGCUAACGCAUUAAGUGCCCCGCCUGGGGAGUACGAUCGCAAGAUUA